AUCCAUACCUAAACUAAUAUUAAGUCCUGAGAAAUCUAAAAGCAUGAGAUCUAUUAACAAUUCGGUAUAAAAAGCUUUUAUCUUCAAGUUUCUAUACACACAGUGAACUUCUAAAAGUUCCCUAGAAGGAGUAUCUACUGUUAAUAUUUUAUUUAAAGGUUCAGACUUAAUAUCUAAAUUACAAGUAAAAAAAUAAGAUUUGAAAGGGUGGGUAGUAUCUGUAUCAAUUAAGGCUCGGGCAGUGGUAUCAUGGAUAAAAAGCAUACCUUGAAUAAUAGUAGGAGUGGUUCGGGCAUCGGGCUCAUCAAGAUGAUAAACACAUCCCUGGGCUAUAGGUUUGGCCACGUCCUUUGGCCAUUAAGGACAGUCCCUCACGAAGUACUGAGUGCUCUCGCAUUUGUAGCAGGUGUUGUUUAAACACUGACAUGGCUUAUCACUAUGAAAGAGUCCACAAUGCUGACAUGGCUAGGCAAGUCGGGCAGGAUGUCUAAUGGGUGGUGAUAGGGUAAAAGGAG
rnacentral:lncRNA from 1 species